rnacentral:tRNA from 1 species
GGCACCAUGGCCUAAUGGUAAGGCGUUGCUUUCCGGCGUGGGACUCCAAUCCCUAAUGGAAGCUGGCAAAGAUUGUGGGUUCGAGUCCCACUGGUGUCG